UUCCAGGUGGCUCAGUGGUAAAGAACCUGCCUGCCAUGCAGGAGACUCCGGUUCAAUCUCUGGGUCGGGAAG
rnacentral:tRNA from 1 species